rnacentral:rRNA from 1 species
CCUACGGGAGGCAGCAGUGGGGAAUAUUGCACAAUGGAGGAAACCCUGAUGCAGCGACGCCGCGUGCGGGAAGAAGGAUUUCGGUAUGUAAAGCUCUAUCAGCAGGGAAGAAAAAAGACGGUACCUGACUAAGAAGCCCCGGCUAACUACGUGCCAGCAGCCGCGGUAAUACGUAGGGGGCAAGCGUUAUCCGGAUUUACUGGGUGUAAAGGGAGCGUAGACGGCUGUGCAAGUCUGAAGUGAAAGCCCAGGGCUUAACCGUGGAACUGCAUGGGAAACUGUGGAUCUAGAGUGCUGGAGAGGGAAGUGGAAUGCCUAGUGUAGCGGUGAAAUGCGUAGAUAUUAGGAGGAACACCAGUGGCGAAGGCGGCUUACUGGACAGUAACUGACGUUGAGGCACGAAAGCGUGGGGAGCAAACAGGAUUAGAUACCCGAGUAGUC